AGAGUUUGAUCCUGGCUCAGGAUGAACGCUGGCGGUAUGCUUAACACAUGCAAGUCGAACGGUCUCUUCGGAGAUAGUGGCGGACGGGUGAGUAACGCGUGAGAACAUGCCUUUAGAUUGGGGACAACAGUUGGAAACGACUGCUAAUACCGAAUGUGCCUUAGGGUGAAAGAUUUAUUGUCUAGAGAUUGGCUCGCGUCAGAUUAGCUAGUUGGAGCGGUAACGGCACACCAAGGCGACGAUCUGUACUUGGUCUGAGAGGAUGACCAGGCACACUGGAACUGAGACACGGUCCAGACUCCUACGGGAGGCAGCAGUGGGGAAUUUUCCGCAAUGGGCGAAAGCCUGACGGAGCAAUACCGCGUGAGGGAGGACGGCUUUUGGGUUGUAAACCUCUUUUAUCAGGGAAGAAUCGAUGACGGUACCUGAUGAAUCAGCAUCGGCUAACUCCGUGCCAGCAGCCGCGGUAAUACGGAGGAUGCAAGCGUUAUCCGGAAUUAUUGGGCGUAAAGCGUCCGUAGGUGGUUUAUCAAGUCUGCUGUCAAAGCGUGCGGCUUAACCGCAUAAGGGCAGUGGAAACUGAUGAACUAGAGUGCGAUAGGGGUAACAGGAAUUCCCAGUGUAGCGGUGAAAUGCGUAGAUAUUGGGAAGAACACCAGCGGCGAAAGCGUGUUACUGGGUCUGCACUGACACUGAGGGACGAAAGCUAGGGGAGCGAAAGGGAUUAGAUACCCCUGUAGUCCUAGCCGUAAACGAUGACAACUAGGCGUGGUUCGUAUCGACCCGAGCCGUGCCGUAGCCAACGCGUUAAGUUGUCCGCCUGGGGAGUACGCACGCAAGUGUGAAACUCAAAGGAAUUGACGGGGGCCCGCACAAGCGGUGGAGUAUGUGGUUUAAUUCGAUGCAACGCGAAGAACCUUACCAAGGCUUGACAUCCUCGGAACCCUGAUGAAAGUUAGGGGUGCCUUCGGGAGCCGAGAGACAGGUGGUGCAUGGCUGUCGUCAGCUCGUGUCGUGAGAUGUUGGGUUAAGUCCCGCAACGAGCGCAACCCACGUUUUUAGUUGCCAGCAUUCAGUUGGGCACUCUAGAGAGACUGCCGGUGACAAACCGGAGGAAGGUGUGGAUGACGUCAAGUCAGCAUGCCCCAUACGCCUUGGGCUACACACGUACUACAAUGCGUCGGACAAAGAGCAGCCAGCCAGCGAUGGUGAGCCAAUCUCAUAAACCGACGCUCAGUUCAGAUUGCAGGCUGCAACUCGCCUGCAUGAAGGCGGAAUCGCUAGUAAUCGCAGGUCAGCAUACUGCGGUGAAUACGUUCCCGGGCCUUGUACACACCGCCCGUCACACCAUGGGAGUUGGUCACGCCCGAAGUCGUUACUCUAACUGCUUGCAGAGGAGGACGCCGAAGGUGGGGCUGAUGACUGGGGUGAAGUCGUAACAAGGUAACC
rnacentral:rRNA from 1 species